GAACAAUCAAAAGUCGAAUUCGCAAUUUCUUAAACAAAAUUAAAUCCAUGCAGUAUUAACCUGUAACAGGUAAACAAUGAACAAUGUAAAAAGACAACAAAAAACGCAGACGAUUUUUUUUUUUUAUUAAAUUACUUUAUAAUUAUGAAAUCAACAUGCAUAUUCUUCAACAGUCUUAAAUCACUACUUUCCAAAAAGUUGUCAUCUUGAUAUCUUUUGUCAAUUUUUUCGUUAUAAUCUAUUUCGUAAAUAAUUUCAAUAAUACAGAUUCUUUAUGCAUUCAGAGUCAUAAAAAAUCAUCUGUAUUAUAUGUCUCUGUUAUAUACCAACAUAUUAUUUACUCAUUUGUAUGUAAAAAAUCAGAUUAAAUAUAUUAACGAAAUUUUGAAUCUCUCCUUUUCCCAUAAUCAGAUGACAUUAAAAAUACACACACAAUCUUAAAUCUCCAUUUUUACAAAAUCAAGUGACACAAAAAAAUGUUUAAAAAUCUUUACUCUCCCUAUUUCCAAAAUCAAGUGACACAGAAAAUGUUUUAAAAUCUUCAUUCUCCCUAUUUCCCAAAUCAACUGUCAUCAACAAUAAUGACAAAAACUUCAAUGUUCCCUUUUCUAAAAUAAAAUAACAUUAACGAUUUAAAAAAAAUUCCCAUUUCCCAAAUCAAAUGACAUAAACAAUAAUAACAAAAACUUCAUUUUCGCCAUUUCCACAAUCAAUUGACAUAAAAAAUAUAUUGACAAAAUGUUCAAUGUUACCUUUUCCCAAAUCAAAUGUCAUUAAAAAAUAUGUACAAAAUCUUCAUUUCACUAAGCAGUCACCCCAACAUUCUGUUUAGCUGCAUGUUUUAAAAACAUGACCCACAAUCGUCAUUUCCUUAAUUCAUAUAAAAAAAAAGAAUAUUUAGUUUGAUUUCUAAUGAGAAAUCUUUCCAUCUACAAAAUAAUAUAGAAUUAUGGUUUCUGUUAAUAUUUUUUUUGGUAAUAAACCCUGUAUAAUAGGUCAUUUUUUAGUGGUUCCUGUCUAUCUAUUGAAACAUUCAUUACAAUGAUGACAAAUCUUAAAAAUAAUCAAACCUUUUGGAAAACCAAAUAUACUAGGUCAACAGAGAUAACAGCGUAUCAAAUACAAAGUUAAAUAGGUAAAGUUGUUAAAAAUUAACUAGUCGAUCAGUUUUGACAAAGUUUGUUUACAUUUGUCGAUAUCUUAAAAAAAAAUACAAUUUGAUAAUUAUGGCAAAACGUCUAUUCUUGAUACAAUUCUGGAAUCUUUUCAUUUAACAGGACACUUAUUAAAAGCUACAUGAUGGCUUACUUUUUAUUUUAGAUUGGUCCCUUAUCUCUCUCUACACUCUAGGUAUUAGGGAACCUAUAUUUAAGUUAACAUAACCAUGUCAAUCGGAUGCAUGUAGCAGCCAGGUGGCUUAUAAAUUUGAUCUCGUAAAAUGAGGGAAAUAUUCUCCUAAUUUACUAAUGCAAUUGAUAUAAAUGAAUUAUAUCUUUUAAUUUCAUAAAUAUUUAAUACAUAGAUAUUGCACGAAUAUUUGUUUUAGAUUAAAGCUUUACAAAAUGCAAUUUCUUGCGAAUUCAUAAUAAUGGAAACGAUACUUACAAAUCAAAUCAAAUUAUCUUUUGGUGUAAAAUCCCAAUAUUUGGUUGUUACAAAGACAAACAUGACAAUAUUUACAAACAUACUGUAUUUAAAUCUAAGCAAUAUUCAUAUUACAUAAAUGUGUCAUAUAUGCAAAGGAGUAGGUGCGGUAAGGGCCGAUUUUCGACUCAAAUUUCAGGUUUUCAAGAUAUUUGAUAAAUUUUAAACACGUAAGUGUCUACUUCAGUCGACUUAAUUAAUUUAUAUGAAAGAUUUGAACUGAUUUGGUCAUUUAAGACGCUCAAUUCAAGCUUAAAUAUGACAAUUUCUAUCAAAUAUGCAAUAAUAUGUCAUUUUUUCAGAUGAUUUUUGUCCGUGUUCACUCUCGACCUUUAUAUAUGUUAUGUAUUAUCAUCAAAUACAACUUACAUUUGAAUAUUAAGAAUGAACACAAAUGCGACCACUUCCAUUUAAAACGGAAACCGUGUGAAUAUUUCAGUAAUUUAGCAUGACUUAAUGAUGAUAGAACCCGAUAUAUGUGUAAUAAAUGUAUCGUAAAAAAACAGCACAUAUUUAUGUAACAGAAGUAUUAUACAUUUCAAUAAAUAACUAAAAACUUACAUUUUAAUAAUUUAGUAAAACUGCUAUAUUUUGGGGCCAAAAAGGGGUCUUACGGUACGUACUCCUUUGAAAGUUUUAGUACAAUUUUCUUAAUGCUUUUGAUACCAAACAUUAACACAACAAAUAUAUAAGAAAAAAAAACAACAAAUAUACAAGAAAAAAGGAAACAAUCAGAAAUUUGUAUUUCAUAAUUGUUUUAGUAUUCUAAUCUUUGUAAAUAUGAUUCUUCGAACACCAUCUCAGUACUUUGUAAUUUUUAAAUUAUAAAUUAUUGUAUUUUAACUGAAAAAAACAUCAGACACAUUUACAAUGAUAGAAAAUAACCAAUACUGUAUGUAAACAAUUUAACUUAUAUUCUUAUUUAACCAUUGUUUCAUUUAAAAAGUGCCAAAUACAUUUUGCCAUCUAUUUACAUUAAUCAUAUAAGUGCAUGUGAAAUACACAAUUUCAGAAGGACAAAAAUACAAAUACAGAAAACUACAUUAAAGUUGGUUAAACAAAUGCAAAUAUAUAAUUAUCAUGAUUUGUUUUUAUACACGAAAUUGACAUAUUAUGAAACAAAACAUUCUGUAAGUAGAAAAAAUGAAAUCAAACUAAACUAAAACAAAAUUAUAAUCAGUGAAGGUACAAUUUCCUUCCAACAAGUAUCCAUGAUUUUCUUUUUGUUACUUUCCGUUUAUAAGAAGGCAACAUAAUGUUUUCUGUAAAGUUGUAACUUUUAUAAACUAUAUACUACAAUUUCAAGUCAAAUUACAAGAAAUUCAAGUGUGCAUUUACUAAAUAUUUCACAGUUGAAUAACUAAAAAUAUGUGAAAUGACAUUUGAUUCGUAAAGCUAUAUAGAAUGCAUUAAAAUAAAGCAAUGGAUAUUCCAAACCUAGUAAAAUUUCAUAUGUGAUGUAAUAUGAUAGAUGAAAUAGGGACAGUUGCACUUGAUCUAUUUCCUCGAUCAUUAGUGAUGUUAAAAAAUUACAAUAUGAAAAUGCAAAAAACAAGAAUGUGUCCACAGUACACGGAUGCCCCACUCACACUAUCAUUUUCUAUGUUUAAAGGACUGUGAAAUUGGAAUAAAUUCUCUAAUUUGGCAUUAAAAUUAGAAUGAUCUUAUCAAG
rnacentral:lncRNA from 1 species